UGCUGCUACCAGGGUACUACAGCUGAUUCUUUUGUACUUCAUUAAAAAUCAACUAUACUGUCUCCUGCUUUGGCUUCUCUUCAGCCAUGCCAGAAUAUUAUCUGCUCUGCUUCCAAGAUGACAGAGAACAGCUAGUCUGAGGAACUGCGGCAAGCCAGUUGCAUGUGAGAGGAAAGAUAUAUGUGGGAAGAGAGAUGCAUUUCAUGGUAUUUUGCUACUUGAGAUGGUUUGGAGUUUUGGAGUAAUUGAUAAGAAAGAUGUCAUGUAUUUAAUGUAUCUGAAACACACUAAGGGAAAUGGUAGAAUACUUUUCCACAAAUGGGUGAACAUCUCAGAACACCGAGCUUCUUUUUGUCCAGAGUUGAUAUGAAAAUAAAGUUCCUUUCUCCGAA